rnacentral:rRNA from 1 species
UUCUGCCUGACGCAGAUGCUGGUCUCUGAGAUUCAGCCAUGCAUGUCUGGAGCAAUGAAGGACGAACAGCUCAGUACAACUGCGAUGAUUUGUCUGUGCAGGCACAUAACCACGUGAAAAUGUGGCUAAGGGCGCAGAAUAAGACGCAGGACUAUCAGUUAGUUGGUAGUGUAAUGGACUACCAAGACGAUGACGGUUGACGGGGAAUCAGGGUUCUAUACCGGAGAGGGAGCCUGAGAGAUUGCUCCCACGUCCAAGGACGGCAGCAGGCGCGAAAAUUGCCCACUGUUUGCAGGAGGCAGUUAUGAGACGUGAGGAUGAAUGCUUGGCAAAGAGAAGCAGGAGAAUUGGAGGGCAAGUUUGGUGCCAGCAGCCGCGGUAAUACCGACUCCAAGAGUGUGUGUGAGAGAUGCUGCAGUUAAAAAGUCCGUAGUCGUGUCGAGGAAACGGAGGGCGACCUCUUAUAGUUGAUGUGGAGGAGCCAAUGGGGAACACAGUAUACCAGGGCGAGAGAUGAAAUGUCAAGACCCCUGGUGGACUCAGCGAGGCGAAGGCGGUGUUCUUGUGGGCGUCCGGUGAUCAAGGACGAAGGGUGGAGGAUCGAACGUGAUUAGAUACCGCAGUAGUUCCAGCAGUAAAAGAUGCCGACAUGCCUGGUGGCAACAGCGGGCAGGGAGAAAUCUAAGAGUUCGGGCUCUGGGGAUAGUAUGCUCGCAAGGGUGAAAAUUAAARAAAAUUGACGGAGCUACACCACAAGGAGUGGAUUGUGCGGCUUAAUUUGACUCAACGCGAGGAAACUUACCAGGGGCAAGUGCUGUGCAGAGACGAGCAGCACAGAAGUGGUGCAUGGUCGUUGGAAAUUGAUGGGAUGACUUUGGGCUUAAAUGGUCGAAUGAGUGAGAUCUUUGGACAUGUUCUGGACGGAACAGGAAGGAGGAGGCUAUAACAGAUCCGAGAUGCCCUUAGAUGCCCUGGGCUGCACGCGCAAUACAAUAGCACGCACAGGCACAGAGCGGCGCGUGUUCUGAUGGACUAUGUGCUGUAAGGCAGAUACAAAAGAGGAAUUCCUAGUAAGCAUGCAUCAGCAGUGGAUGUUGAAUGUGUCCCUGUAGCUGGUACACACCGUCCGUCACUAUCUUAGAUGUUUUUCGGGAUGAAGAGCCACGGCUCUGAAUAGCGAAAAGUAGAUAGAUGUAAGUCGUAGCAGGGUUGCGGUCGGUGAACCAUUACA